AUCUACUCUUCCCAGGCCCAGUUCCACCCGGCUCCACCCAAUUUCAUUCCUUUCUCUUCCCCAAAGAGGUAGGAGGUACAAGUAUGUGAUACCCCACUUCUGGCUUCCUCAAAAGCUUAAGGAAAAGCAGCUCCACACUCACUCCCAACCCACAGAUGGAUUCGCCCACCAGAGAAUAGGGCCGUGUGGAAAGGGUAGGGGCUGCACGGGGAAGCCUAUCACUCUUAAGUAGACAAUUGAUGAUGGGGUUCAGGUGCAACAGUCUUUUUGGCAAUGGCUCUCUUCCUAGAAGUGCAAUGCAAAGCAGACAAGCCGGUUGCCAGGUGCAUUCAGGGAAGGAGGUGCAAAAAGUGAUAGCUAAUCUAUGGACUUUGCCCAGCUGGCCUGCCCUGGCCCCCACAACUCUUGGAAGUGAUCUGAAAAGGUAUGAAACCAAGGAGGCAAGGCACACUCGGGAUUGCACAGGCUCAUCCCCUCCUCUUGCCUGAGAUUAGAAGGGCGGGGGUAAAGGCAGGACAUCCAGAGGCAUCCAGCCAGGAUCUUAGCUCCAGUAAAGCCAAGGAAUGAAUGAAUGGCCACAGGCUACUCUGCAGGGCACUCACAGCCUCGCCUUCACCAAGGCCCAGUCCACAAGGGCAAGGCUUGCAAGAGAGGAAGGAGGAAUCGCGGAGCAGCAAACCAAAGCCAGGCCUGUGUCUUGAGAGGGCUUCUCACCAAGGGAAGCUUCCAGGGCCUUCUCCAAAGCACCAUAUUCAAGCACUGGAUGCUGCUUGGACAUAUCAAUUGAGGUCCCAGAGAAAUCAGUAUGGGGAGAAGAAGGACUUGGAAUCACACAAACAUGGGUCCGAACCCUGCUUGCCCUUCCCAGCUGGGUAAACUCCAGGC
rnacentral:lncRNA from 1 species